CAUGUAGGUGGGACUUUAAGUCAGUUGUUAAAUAUUACGGCUUAACCGUAUUAUGCAAUUGAUACUGGAGUUCUUGAGUUCGAGAGGGGAUGGUAGAAUGUCUAGUGUAGCGGUGGAAUGCGUAGAUAUUAGAUAGAAUACCUGAGGUGAAGACGACUGUCUGGCUCGUAACUGACACUGAUAUGCGAAAGCAUGGGUAGCGAACAGGAUUAGAUACCCUGGUAGUCC
rnacentral:rRNA from 1 species